rnacentral:rRNA from 1 species
UAGGGAAUCUUCCGCAAUGGACGCAAGUCUGGCGGAGCAACGCCGCGUGAGUGAAGAAGGAUUUCGGUUCGUAAAACUCUGUUGUUAGAGAAGAACAGCGCAUAGAGUAACUGUUAUGCGUGUGACGGUAUCUAACCAGAAAGCCACGGCUAACUACGUGCCAGCAGCCGCGGUAAUACGUAGGUGGCAAGCGUUGUCCGGAUUUAUUGGGCGUAAAGCGAGCGCAGGCGGUCAAUUAAGUCGGAUGUGAAAGCCCCCGGCUCAACCGGGGAGGGUCAUUGGAAACUGGUUGACUUGAGUGCAGAAGAGGAGAGUGGAAUUCCAUGUGUAGCGGUGAAAUGCGUAGAUAUAUGGAUGAACACCGGUGGCGAAGGCGACUCUCUGGUCUGUAACUGACGCUGAGGCUCGAAAGCGAUGGUAGCGAACAGG